ACAGACGCCGCCAUGUUGGAGCUGUAAGCAGACACGGCUGGAUGGCGCGCACGUCCGCCCGCGCACCGUUCUCUCCGUGACGAUGAACAGCGCCGUCAUCCGGCUGGAGCUGUCACACAGUGAAGAGAGCGCAGUAUUGGAGUGAUGUGCUGGUUCUUGCUAAAAGAUGGGUAGAGGAAUUUUGGACCAGCUGGAGACCAGCAGAGACUGGGUGAAUCCAAGCCCUGUUUCCGCAUCGACUGGACUGAUGUCAUCCACGGGAAACGGUUUUACUUCCAGCUCCGACCAAGUCAAGUCAGUCCAGCAGCUUCGGUUGAAGAAUUGAGUGGGAAAAGGUUUGGUCCAAAAGUGUUUUAUCACCAAUAACAUGAAAGAAAUGUCAUUAAAGUUAUUCAUACAUUUUACACUUUUUUUAACCAAAUCGUAAAAAGAUCUGGACACAAACUGUUCCUUUUGUCCUUCCUCACCAGAACCGCUGCCUCGUCUUUUUUGGUUUUUCUCCUUCACUCAAACAUUUUGGAAAGAUUUGACUCAUUUCAUAAUAACCCAUCUAAGUGAAGACUAUCAAUUAUUCUAUGAACAUAUUAUUUUUGGAUAUUUUACACGAGGUAGAUUUAAUGCAGAGAAAUUGUUAAACUAUAAAUAUGGUUAAACAUUUCAUUCACAAGUGUAAAUAUGUUAACAAAAAACAGUUUUCUUUAGUUUUUUUCCAAAAAGAAAUGAUUUUUAUGUCAAUAGAUUUAAAUCCUGCACUAACAAAAAGCUGUUACAACAGUUGAAGCAUUGUCACUUUUGAAACUUUAACAGAUUUCUUUACCUUUAUUAUUGUCGUUUUAUUUUUGUCUUUUUUAACCUGAUUUUUUUAUU